rnacentral:lncRNA from 1 species
UUACCCAAAAAUCCACGUGUCGCCUUGUGAUUAUUUUUGGCUCCACACUUACCCCAUCCUCCCCUCCUCCAGCAUCUUUUGGCCUAGGGGUAGAAUCGCAAUCGAUUCGAAUCUCCUGCAAUUUGUCAUGUCUCCAAAAUUCAUAGUGCUGCCGAAGCAGGGCCAGCCCUGAGAAUUUGGGGGCCCUAGGCGAGCCUUCAAAGUGGGGCUCGAAAGUUCUCUAAUCUCCGGUUCCUUGUAGAUUGAUAUGUAUCAAAAAGAAUUCGUUAAAUACACAAAAAAUUCUAUUUCCACAUUAAACAUGAUUAAAAAUUAAUAUCAAAAGCAGAUAAAUAUACAAACAUUACUUAAACAUUACACAACUCACGUUUUUGGACACAAAUAUAUUAAAUGUUUGCAGUCAAGAAUCUAAGAUUGAGAGUGAAGAAUAAUAAAACUUGAUUCACAAGUAUAAUAAAUUCAACAAUGCCAAUUGUUUCUCUUAUGUUUUUUUUUUUCUUUUUCUAAAAUUAACAUCACACUAACGAAUCGAAUGUUAAAAUAAUCCAUUGAAUAAAAAAAUAUUGAAAAGAAAAAUAUAAAUUCAAAGUUUUAAUUACCUUAAAGUACAAUCUUCAAGACCAUGUGAUUGUUGGUUUAAACAUUCAAUAGAAAUGGAGAGAUUGAGAAGUUGAAAGAAAAAAAAGAUUGCAAGGGGAGUUGGGUUUUAUAACUUUAUAUGCAUUUGGAUAGAUGGAUUGGAAGUAAAUUUGAAAAAGAAAAAUCUAGUGACUAAAUUGGCAGCUCUGUAUUUCAAAUUCAACACCCUAAAGAAAAAAGGAAGCCAAAUAUUUUCACUACACCAACAAAUGAAUUACGAUAUUUCUUACUUUUUUCUGUAUUUAUAUGUUAAUUACAAGAUAUUAAAAAAAUUUGGAGACCCCUCU